CCCAGUGAUAUAUUUAACGGCCGCGGUAUUUUAACCGUGCAAAGGUAGCAUAAUAAUUUGUCUUUUAAUUGGAGACUUGUAUGAAUGGAUUAAUGAAAAUAUAACUGUCUUUAUAUUUUUUUUAUAAAUUAAUUUGGAAGUGAAGAGGCUUUUAUAUUAAUAAAAGACAAGAAGACCCUAUCGAGCUUUAUAUAUAUGAAUAUUUUUAAAUAAAUAUAUUUUUUUAUUUUUAAUUUAUUUGGUUGGGGCGACUAAGGAAAAUAUAAAUCUUCCUAUUUUAAAUUAGAAUAUAAUUCUUUAUGUAGAUCUUUUAUAAUUAAUAGAAAUAGUUACCGUAGGGAUAACAGACUUAUCUUUUUUGAGAGUUCAUAUUGAUAAAAAGGAUUGGUACCUCGAUGUUGGCUUAGAAUAUCCUAUAAAUGUAGAAGUGUAUAAGGGUUGGUUUGUUCAACCAUUAAAAUUUU
rnacentral:rRNA from 1 species